CCCGCUGAACUUAAGCAUAUCAAUAAGCGGAGGAAAAGAAACUAACAAGGAUUCCCCUAGUAACUGCGAGUGAAGCGGGAAAAGCUCAAAUUUAAAAUCUGGCGGUCCCUGUGGCCGUCCGAGUUGUAAUUUAGAGAAGUGUUAUCCGCGUUGGACCGUGUACAAGUCUCCUGGAAUGGAGCGUCAUAGAGGGUGAGAAUCCCGUCUUUGACACGGACUGCCAAGGCAUUGUGAUACGCUCUCAAAGAGUCGAGUUGUUUGGGAAUGCAGCUCAAAAUGGGUGGUAAAUUCCAUCUAAAGCUAAAUAUUGGGGAGAGACCGAUAGCGAACAAGUACCGUGAGGGAAAGAUGAAAAGAACUUUGGAAAGAGAGUUAAACAGUACGUGAAAUUGCUGAAAGGGAAACGCUUGAAGUCAGUCGCGUCGCCCAGGACUCAGCCUUGCUUUUGCUCGGUGUACUUCCUGUUCGAUGGGUCAGCAUCAAUUUUGGUCGGUGGAUAAAGGCUCAGAGAAUGUGGCAUCUUCGGGUGUGUUAUAGCUCUGGGUUGUAUACAUCGGCUGGGAUUGAGGAACUCAGCACGCCGCAAGGCCGGGUACUUGUACCACGUACGUGCUUAGGAUGCUGGCAUAAUGGCUUUAAUCGACCCGUCUUGAAACACGG
rnacentral:rRNA from 1 species